rnacentral:rRNA from 1 species
UCGAUUUAGCCAUGCUAGUUGUACGAGUUGAGACUCGUAGCAGAUAGCUCAGUAACACGUGGCCAAACUACCCUAUCGAGCACGAUACUCUCGGGAAACUGAGGCUAAUAGUGCAUACGGCUCGGUGUCUGGAGUGACCCGAGUCAGAAACGCUCAGGCGCGAUAGGAUGUGGCUGCGGCCGAUUAGGUAGACGGUGGGGUAACGGCCCACCGUGCCAAUAAUCGGUACGGGUUGUGAGAGCAAGAGCCCGGAGACGGUAUCUGAGACAAGAUACCGGGCCCUACGGGGCGCAGCAGGCGCGAAACCUUUACACUGCACGCGAGUGCGAUAAGGGGACUCCAAGUGCGAGGGCAUAUAGUCCUCGCUUUUUCCGACCGUAGGAUGGUCGGCGAAUAAGUGCUGGGCAAGACCGGUGCCAGCCGCCGCGGUAAUACCGGCAGCACGAGUGAUGACCGCUAUUAUUGGGCCUAAAGCGUCCGUAGCUGGCCACGCAAGUCCAUCGGGAAAUCUCUCCGCUCAACGGAGAGGCGUCCGGUGGAAACUGUGUGGCUUGGGACCGGAAGAUCCAGAGGGUACGUCUGGGGUAGGAGUGAAAUCCCGUAAUCCGAGACGGACCACCGGUGGCGAAAGCGCUCUGGAAAGACGGAUCCGACGGUGAGGGACGAAAGCUCGGGUCACGAACCGGAUUAGAUACCCGGGUAGUCCGAGCUGUAAACGAUGUCUGCUAGGUGUGACACAGGCUACGAGCCUGUGUUGUGCCGUAGGGAAGCCGUGAAGCAGACCGCCUGGGAAGUACGUCUGCAAGGAUGAAACUUAAAGGAAUUGGCGGGGGAGCACUACAACCGGAGGAGCCUGCGGUUUAAUUGGACUCAACGCCGGACAUCUCACCAGCAUCGACAGUGUGCAGUGAAAGUCAGUGUGAUGAGCUUACUGGAGCCACUGAGAGGAGGUGCAUGGCCGCCGUCAGCU